AAUAUUUCUCAAUUGCGGGGCCCUUGGCAAAAUAACCAUAUAUUUAAACAUACAGCUGAGUUAUGUGAAAGAGGUUACAUAGUAACCGCUUCCGAAAUGCAGAGAAAGGUGUAUAACUGCACCCAACUCUUCAGAAAGAAACUGCAAAAUAUUGGUGUGUCCGGCAGGUCCCCAUCACCUUGGAAGAAUUUUGGGAAAUUUGCCACUCCACAAUAUUACUGGGUUAAUUGUAAAUAAUUUUGGAGACCAAAAACCAGGGUCAUCCACUUAAAGUUGUGUACCGUCGCCGUUAUUGUCAGCGUCGUUACCAUUGCGCUGCACUAGUUCUGACAUCUCGG